AUUGAACGCUGGCGGCAUGCCUUACACAUGCAAGUCGAACGGUAACGGGCCUUCGGGUGCCGACGAGUGGCGAACGGGUGAGUAAUACAUCGGAACGUGCCCGAUCGUGGGGGAUAACGAGGCGAAAGCUUUGCUAAUACCGCAUACGAUCUACGGAUGAAAGCAGGGGACCGCAAGGCCUUGCGCGGACGGAGCGGCCGAUGGCAGAUUAGGUAGUUGGUGGGAUAAAAACUUACCAAGCCGACGAUCUGUAGCUGGUCUGAGAGGAUGAUCAGCCACACUGGGACUGAGACACGGCCCAGACUCCUACGGGAGGCAGCAGUGGGGAAUUUUGGACAAUGGGCGCAAGCCUGAUCCAGCCAUGCCGCGUGCAGGAUGAAGGCCUUCGGGUUGUAAACUGCUUUUGUACGGAACGAAAAGCCUUCUUUUAAUACAGGAGGGUCAUGACGGUACCGUAAGAAUAAGCACCGGCUAACUACGUG
rnacentral:rRNA from 1 species